CUGUCCGGAGUACAUCACCAUGUCUUCCAGGCUCCUCUGGACCGUGACCGUUUCUCAAACUUUCCUUGUUUUUGAUAACCUUAAUAGUUUUGAAGCGACUUAUUGGUCAUUUGGUCAAAUGUCCUUCAAUUGGGUUUUGCCUGUAUUUUUCUCAUGCAUUAACUGAGGUUAUGGGUUUUUCUUGAGUUAAGAGAAUCAGCUGCUUCCCCAAAAAGCCAAGGGUACUUUUAAUGGAAAAUGAUAUUAGAAAUCAAGAUUUGGACAUUUGGGAUGUUGUUGCUUCUAGACACUCUCAGCUGACAGAGCAAGGAAAUAUUUGUGGAUAUGCUAACCUGACUAAAUACGCAUAUCUGCUCCAUACCUACCUAACAUCUAUCUUCUCAAGAACUCUGCCAGGGAAGGAGUAGUUUCUGUGUUUCAUAAACAGACUGAGACUCAAAGAGGCUAAGUAAACUACCUGAAGCCAUAUAUAGCAACACACAAUGACGGAUGUGAGAUUCAAACUUGGAUUUAUCUGGCUCCAAAAUUUCUAGUUUUUUUUUUUUUUUUUUUCCCACUACAGCAAAACUAAGGAGAAGAGACAGAGAAAACACUAGAUCUGAAUAACAAAGGAUGCAUACUUAAGCAAACUAAGGCAUAUAUAGUUAUCACUAAAUGCUCAACCUGGAAAGAAUACUGGAUUGCAGUCUGCUUUUUCUGUAAAGACAAUAGUAUUAUAAAACCGAAAGAGACAACAGGGAAUAUUUCCCACUCAACUAAGCAUAUCUAAAAGCACAUUUGAAGUUUGGAGACAAUAUUCUGUGUUAUUUUAAGAAAAGAUUCUAUAGCAUUAUUACCUGGUGGUAAGAAAAUAACAUGUAAAAGAAAAGCAGAAGCACAGAAAACAGCUUUGCCUAUGAUCCAUGAUCAGUGAGCCAGAAGUGCCUGGGAAUUAACAAACCCUGGGAGCAGCUUUCAACAAUGACCUCAGGACAACUCCUGAGAUAUAAAUACCCC
rnacentral:lncRNA from 1 species